rnacentral:rRNA from 1 species
CUUAGUUGAAGGAAGACGCGGGGAACUGAAACAUCUAAGUACCCGCAGGAAGAGAAAGAAAUUCGAUUCCCAUAGUAGCGGCGAGCGAAGUGGGAACAGCCCAAACCAAAAAGCUUGCUUUUUGGGGUUGUAGGACUGGACAUUUGAGUUACCAAGAGAUAACGUAGCUGAACGAUCUGGGAAGAUCGACCAGAGAAGGCAAUCGUCCUGUAAGCGAAA